rnacentral:rRNA from 1 species
UGUACCCUAGGGGAGGCAGCAGUGAGGAGUAUUGGUCAAUGGGAGAGAUCCUGAACCAGCCAAGCCGCGUGAGGGAAGACGGCCCUAUGGGUUGUAAACCUCUUUUGUCGGAGAACAAAACCCGGGACGUGUCCCGGACUGCGUGUAUCCGAAGAAAAAGCAUCGGCUAACUACGUGCCAGCAGCCGCGGUAAUACGUAGGUGGCAAGCGUUGUCCGGAUUUAUUGGGCGUAAAGCGAGUGCAGGCGGUUCAAUAAGUCUGAUGUGAAAGCCUUCGGCUCAAC